GUGCCAGCAGCCGCGGUAAUACGGAGGGUGCAAACGUUGCUCGGAAUCAUUGGGCGUAAAGCGCGCGUAGGCGGUCCGGUUAGUCGGGUGUGAAAGCCCUAGGCUUAACCUAGGAAGUGCAUCCGAAACUGCCGGGCUAGAGUACCGGAGAGGGCGACGGAAUUCCCGGUGUAGAGGUGAAAUUCGUAGAUAUCGGGAGGAACACCAGCGGCGAAGGCGGUCGCCUGGACGGAUACUGACGCUGAGGCGCGAAAGCGUGGGGAGCAAACAGGAUUAGAUACCCUGGUAGUCCACGCCGUAAACGAUGGGUGCUAGUCGUCGCGGGUAUUGACCCCCGCGGUAACGUAGCUAACGCGUUAAGCACCCCGCCUGGGGAGUACGGCCGCAAGGCUAAA
rnacentral:rRNA from 1 species